UUAUGUCGAAGUAUCAGUUUUCCAUUAAAAACCCUAAUUAUUUUACUCGUAUAUUCUUCUUCUUAUUAUUAUUGUGAUGUAAUGUAAGAAGAAGAUGUAUUUAGUAGUGUUAAUUAACUGUGCUGACAUGUUACAUUUAUUAUAACAAAAACUUAAUUAUUUGUCUUCUCAUCUGUGGUGAUGCAUAGUUUCACUGGGGGCUUGUUGAUCAGGUGAACUCAUAGCGGCAGUUGAACUUAAGAUGUGUACUAAGCCGAUGAAAACUCCUGGCCCUGGAUAUAAAUACAUUUUCCAUGAUAGUAUAUUGUAAACUGAUGUCAUUUGCUUGGGUGGUUGGAAAUGGCUAUCGAGGCUAUUCAAUUCCGUGUUUAGAGCUUGCAGCUGUGGAAUUUGUUGCAGUAGAUUAGCAAAUCAAUCCCCAUUCCCUGUUAGUAUCUGUAAUGUGAAAUUAAGUAUGGUUAAUUCAUCUGUUUAUACUCUAUAUAUCAAUGUUGUGUCUAGCUAUAGCUGCAAACAGAUUACCAACAUUUGAAAGCAUCUGUUUAUACUCUAUA